rnacentral:rRNA from 1 species
AUUGAACGCUGGCGGCAGGCCUAACACAUGCAAGUCGAACGAGUGGCGGACGGGUGAGUAAUGUCUGGGAAACUGCCUGAUGGAGGGGGCUAACUACUGGAACCGGUAGCUAAUACCGCAUACCAUCGGAUGUGCCCAGAUCGGAUUAGCUGGUAGGUGAGGUAACGGCUCACCUAGCCGACGAUCCCUAGCUGGUCUGAGAGGAUGACCAGCCACACUGGAACUGAGACACGGGCCAGAGUCCUACGGGAGGCAGAAGUGGGGAAUAUUGCACAAUGGGCGCAAGCCUGAUGCAGCCAUGCCGCGUGUAUGAAGAAGGCCUUCGGGUUGUAAAGUACUUUCAGCGGGGAGGCGUUACCCGCAGAAGAAGCACCGGCUAACUCCGUGACAGCCGCCGCGGUAAUUC